AUCAUUACACAAUAACAAGGCGGGCUGGACACCCCCCGCUGGGCACUGCUUCACGGCGUGCGCGGCGGGGCCGGCCCUGCUGAAUUAUUCACCCGUGUCUUUUGCGUACUUCUUGUUUCCUGGGUGGGCUCGCCCGCCCUCAGGACCAACCACAAACCUUUUGCAAUAGCAAUCAGCGUCAGUAACAACGUAAUUAAUUACAACUUUCAACAACGGAUCUCUUGGUUCUGGCAUCGAUGAAGAACGCAGCGAAAUGCGAUACGUAGUGUGAAUUGCAGAAUUCAGUGAAUCAUCGAAUCUUUGAACGCACAUUGCGCCCUUUGGUAUUCCAAAGGGCAUGCCUGUUCGAGCGUCAUUUGUACCCUCAAGCUUUGCUUGGUGUUGGGCGUCUUUUGUCUCCAGUUCGCUGGAGACUCGCCUUAAAGUCAUUGGCAGCCGGCCUACUGGUUUCGGAGCGCAGCACAAGUCGCGCUCUUCGCCAGCCAAGGUCAGCGUCCAGCAAGCCUUUUUUUUCAACCUUUGA
rnacentral:rRNA from 1 species